UGGCUCAGAGGUUAAAGCGUCUGCUUGCAAUGCAGGAGACCGGGGUUCGAUCCCUG
rnacentral:tRNA from 1 species